rnacentral:lncRNA from 1 species
UUUGAAAUUCAAAGGUAGAAGACGUAGAAGGCUAGAAGCACCGUUAGAGCGGAGGUGGAGUCGUGGAGGACCGGAGGUGGAAUGGUGGAUCAGUGGAGGUGGAUUUUUUAUUUGGGGGAAAAAAGGGAGGGAAGGGGUUAGGGAUUUAUCAGAUGCACGGGGUCGGGGAAAUGGGAAAUAGGGAGGGGAAGGGAAAUGGGAA